GCAAAGCAAUUCUGGUUUAGUGGGAGACGUGGCUUAAGGAGAGGCUUUCUGUGUCUAAGGUUUCUGGCUGGCACAAGAGCCGACGAGUAAAAAGUUAGGGGUAGGGCUUUGAGGUGUUACGCAGCGUUGCGUUUCGACGACUGAUAGAUGCUGCCGCAGUUAAAUACCCCGAAUAAGACGAAUUCACUACUGGGGGAGGGAGGGCAUGGCAUGGAUUGUUACCUUAUUUCUGCCUGGCGAUUCUGUUAUCACCUACAUCUUCCUACAUCCCCCGCUAUUCGUUUUAUCUCAUGAAACAAGAACGAUUUUCAUCUUUUAGCUGGCUCGCUCCUUCAUACAAAAAAUAGUAUCUAUAAUGUGUUACUUAAUAUGGUGUUGGGCUCAUAUGGUGUUGUCAGAACGGAAAAAUGCAAAAUAUUUUGAGGAUGCGGUUGUGUCGUAUCCUUUUAAAAACAAUUGUGAGGUGUUGAGGGAUGCUUUUAUGGUCCCUAGUGGGGCAGAUCCACACCAUAUAUUUAAAAUGCAAUCAAAACACGUUUAAAGCACAUGACUUCUCCCCAAAAAAUAUGGGAAGUGUAGUUUUCUCACAUAUUUACCAUUCCCAGUACCCUAAACAUACUACAGUUCCCAGGAUUCUUUGGGGAAAAUCAUAGUGUUAGGAGUUUGUGGGUGCCAGAUCUCUUUAAUCCCUGGUUCCAGCAAGUUUAGAAGCCAAUUAAGACAGCUAACUUCAUCAAUCCAUUAUUUUUAAUCAUGUAGCUGGAGAAUAGCAGCAUAGAUAUGGAGAGAGAUGGUUGACAUCAUGUAGUGUUCAAUUAUUAAUCAUCAAGAUGGAUACCACUUUUACCAAGAUCCAUAACUGAAGUGGUUGCUGAACUACCAAUAAUAUUAGGUUCCUUAACAAUAAUUGCGGCAAGGUGAAUGGAGCAAAUAAUAAAAAAUGCUAAUGACUAAAACUCCAGAUGUUCUAAAAGCACAAGCUCACACGACUGCAUUAAAACUCUGAUUUUAGCAGCUUCUUUUCAUCAUCUUUUUUUUUGCUUCUGAGCCUUUAGUAUGCACAGCAUGCAUCUUUCCCACCCCAAGUACAAGGAAAGCAGAGUUCUAAACAGAGUAUUUUUUUACAAGAAAACCAAACUCCCCACCAACUUAUAGCAUAUUUCUUAUAAUUUCAGGCAGCUAGAAACACCCAAAAUUAUGAGUCUUAUAAUUAAACUAGACAAGGAGGCACCUUUGGGUAAGGCUGUGAAAUCUAUCCAAAACAACACAAGCUGCUACUGAAAUACAACCAUUUUGUGUUCUUGGGCGGAACAUAGUCAUCUGCGUUAUAGCGGAGGGUGGCAAAGCAACCUGAAAGGAAGAUGAAGGCAACAAUACUGCUUAAGGUACAGAAAAUGAAGAGGUGUUUAGGCAAAGUGAAUUGAUAAGUGGCUUGAAAUUUAACAAGGAGGGAUGAUACUGAAAUGUAGUUCUUAAAAGAAGGUUGCACAAAUCACUUUGAGGGCCACUUUUACCUGUUUAUUAAUUCAAAAGGGCCACAGUGCUAUAUCACUACUGGGACAAUGUCACAUUUUCAACUAAGUGCUUAGGGGUUUUUUUAGUCCAUUUUCUGUUAACUGAAUUUGUUAACGUGUCCAGAGGAGGGCAACCAAAAUGGUCAAAGGCCUAGAAACGAUGCCUUAUGAGGAACGGCUAAGGGAGCUGGGCAUGUUUAGCCUGGAGAAGAGGAGGUUAAGGGGUGAUAUGAUAGCCAUGUUCAAAUAUAUAAAAGGAUGUCACAUAGAGGAGGGAGAAAGGUUGUUUUCUGCUGCUCCAGAGAAGCGGACACGGAGCAAUGGAUCCAAACUACAAGAAAGAAGAUUCCACCUAAACAUUAGGAAGAACUUCCUGACAGUAAGAGCUGUUCGACAGUGGAAUUUGCUGCCAAGGAGUGUGGUGGAGUCUCCUUCUUUGGAGGUCUUUAAGCAGAGGCUUGACAACCAUAUGUCAGGAGUGCUCUGAUGGUGUUUCCUGCUUGGCAGGCGGUUGGACUCGAUGGCCCUUGUGGUCUCUUCCAACUCUAUGAUUCUAUGAUUCUAAUUUUUCUCUGCACCAACAUUUCUGUCAGCCUCUUUCAUCCCUUUGAGAGCCAGUGUGGUGUAGUGGUUAAGAGCGGUAGUCUCGUAAUCUGGCGAACCGGGUUCGCGUCUCCGCUCCUCCACAUGCAGCUGCUGGGUGACCUUGGGCCAGUCACGCUUCUCUGAAGUCUCUCAGCCCCACUCACCUCACAGAGUAUUUGUUGUGGGGGAGGAAGGGAAAGGAGAAUGUUAGCCGCUUUGAGACUCCUUAAAGGGAGUGAAAGGCGGGAUAUCAAAUCCAAACUCUUCUUCUUCUUAUUAUUUUCUCCCUCUCUGUAGCCACAGUUCGGUGUGCUCUUCAUCUGUUACUCCCUUUUACUCUUUCCCCAGUUCAUAGGUCUCUCUACACCUCCUUUUAAAAAAAAUUCUUUUUCCUUUCUCUGUAUUUCUGACUCCAUUUCUCUGUUCAUCCAUAGUACUCUUUUCUCAUCUCUACAGCAUCACAGAUCUCUCUACACCGUAUGUUACCCCUCCUGCCUCUUCUCCGUUUCUCCACCUUACAGGGUCCCUUUGCCUCCCCUUUACUCUCUUUUUCUUCCCCUAGGGCCAAACUAGGCAGGACUCAGGAGUUCAUCUUUGCACUUCAAAAAUGCAAAACCGUAUCAGAGGAAACUGAAGAUGUUUAGCAUUGCAGCAGGCAAGAAGUAGGAAGUUAACCUCUUUCUCCUCUGCUGUGGUCCUGAGGAAAAGCCUUCUUCUAAAGGUGUAGUAUUUGCAACAAGAGGGAAUUCCCUAUUGAUGGGGGGGGGGUUUACUCCCUAAAGCCAACACUGCCUUCAGAAGAGGAAUUUUCCUCAAAGGCUAGCAGGAAAACUCUAUGCCUGCUGCAGUCCCAAUGAUUAUAAUUCCUACCACCGCUACUGCAGCUGUUUGCAUUUUUAAAAACCUGCAUGUGAAAUGGAACAAUGUAUUUAAUGUCACAUCUUAUUUGAACCUUAGUCUCUCUUUUUGUUCUGUUUCUGCUCCCCUCUAUAGAUCUCUGCACUGAACAAGUAACAGCGAGCCACAGCACCAAAUGUAUUCUCUCCUACCAAAGCAGGACAUUUUUUAAACAUAUAAAAUAUGGGGAAAUUUUCCCCAGCCCUCACAAAUUCCACCCUGCCCAUAAACGUAAUAUCAACCCACCCUUUUAAUUCUGUUUGGAUUUGGGGGGAAACAAAUGCAGGUUUAAACGCAGCUCGCUUUCUCUUCUAGGCUUGUCAUUUAGGACUUGCUGUUCUGCUUUAAGCAAAACCUGUACCUAUGUAACCCCUAUGGCUUAAUUAGACCUGUUACUUUAAGGAGGUUCAAUGCUUUCAAGCUCUUAUGUGCAGAUGGGUGGGGAGGAAUGGUGGCCUUUGGAAGCCAUUUUGACUAAGAGCUGCAGGAAAGGGAUUCAGGGCAGGCCUGGCUAUUUCAAAGGGUGAGUCCCCCUUACAUUCUUGUUGUUAUUAUCUAGGGGGUCACUCAAAUCCAUAAGAAGAGAGGAGCAUACUUAAAAUAAAUAUGUGAGUGUUUUUAAUUAUUACAGUACUCUUGUUUCAAGAAUAUUCUAGAACUGAGAGCAAGGAGCUCCAUUUACCAUCAGGCUGCACUGCUGGGGCUCUUCCUUUUCCACAGCAAUUCUGCCUUUUGGGAGACUUUCUUGCGAGAAAGGAGUAUUUUUAUUUUUUCAUUUUGCUCGGUUGGACUCUCUAGUUAGAGCUUUAAAAACCUGCAUUGAAUGAUGUUUGAAACUUUGUUCCCACAUAGACUUUUGUAAAGUCUAAGCCUAGGUGGCUGGAGGUGCAAUCGUAGGGGCUGGGGAGAAAAAAAAUAUUGGGCCGGUUCUGGCUAUUGUAUCAUCGCCAUCCUUAGAACAACCCUGUUAGGUGGGUAUCGUUAUCUUCAUUUUGGGGGAUGAGCCUGAGGAAGAGUGGCUUUCCUAAAGCCACCAGUGAAUUCAUGGCAGAGGCCAGAUUUAAGGGGCUGGACAAGGAGUGUUCGUAUUGAAUCCCACCAGAUGUUCAGUGAAUGCAUGGGGGGGGGCAGGAUUUCCACCUUCUGUUCAGCAUUAGUGAGAAAGGAGCUCAAGUAAACAUUGAUUGUGAGAGAGUGCUCAUGUGAACACCCUCCUAUGUGUAGGGCUUUGAACCCAUGUGUAUUUUCCCUUACCAACCUGCCCAUUUAUUAAGGUUUGAGGAAGAAGCUCUCCUGGUUAUUCCCAUGUCAAAUGUGCUCACUAGAGGCUAACCUUUUUUGUGUUGGCUCCAUUUUUUCAGACACCUGGUAUAAUAAACCCACCUUUUCCUGCUCGCUUUUGGUGGCAGAUGGAUUAAGUUAUUUGUACUGCUUUUAAAUUGUGCUAUUUGUGUAGUUUAUGAGAAUUGUUUUGUUUAGUAGGUAUUACGGUAUGUUUUAUUAUCUUUCUCUUUUUUGUAAACCACCCCAUUACCAUUUUUUGUGAAGAACGGUAUAGAAACCUCUAAAUAAAUGAACGACUAAGUCCAAUUUUAUUCAAGUCAGCAGCACCUAGAGGUCCUUGAACCAAAACCCCUCAAUUUGGGUUGCCAGACAAUAGUGGUCUAUGGUGGUGGUGACAAGUGUAGUGACUCAGGGUAUGAGCAGUGAACCAAGUAGUCUUUGCUCACUUUAACCUUGAAUUUGCUAGGUAGGCCUAGAUCUGCCAGCUGUUCUCUUGGCCUCAUCUCCCUAUAAGCAGCAUGGAAAUCAUAAUAUUACCUUAUACUAUAAGACUUAUAGGGUUGUUGUAAGGGCUGCUAGGAUGAUGCACUCUGUGUACUUGAAAUAUGCUUGCUACAUGAAUGCUAGGUGCCACAGUAUCCUUCUUGCAUUAUGUGUGCCAUUUCAUGUUAUUUUUGCUUCCAUGAACCUUUGCAAUCUUGCCUGGGAUUAAGGACUGUCUGAACCAAGUUCAUGAUUUGAAGUAUGAUGUUUCUACAGUCUGAAAGCAGCUGGAGGCUGUGGUCCUGUGCAGGCGACCCUGGGAGUAACUCCCAUUAAAUUCAGGAAGACUUCUGGCAACAUGCAUAAGAUGGGGCUGAAAGAUUGCAGAAUAGUGGUAGAGAACUCACUACAUGGAGCAGAUCCAGGGUUUCCCAUUUCUGAUUUGUUUUUGGUUAAUAAAUAAUGGGAAAAUCUGUAGCAUUUUCUCAAUCUAGCAAAAGCUGGGCUAAAAGAAAAUGCAUUUGGGGGGAAUGCAGCAGGCUCAAAGCUAAAACCCAGCUGAGGCUCCCAGUGGUGUUUUUGAAGCAUAAUAUGCAGAGAGGGGCAUAAAAAGAAAUACAGUUUUGCUUUAGACACUAUUCUUGUUUGUUUAGCUGAGUGUAAAUGCAAUUUAAAAAUGCAUAGAGGUUUGAAUGCAGCCCAUCUGUCAUGGCUUUCGAUAGGACGAAAUAUCCAUCAAUCCUGCAGAACAAAAUUUCUGCCUUAGAAAAGUACAUAUUGAUUCAAGGGUGACGGAGAACUCCCCUACCAUCCCUUGUAAAACACACACACACACAUUCACACUCUUUACUGUGUAAUCCUAUACAUGUAUGUUGAAAAGUAAACCCCAAGUUCAGUGGGACUUGCUCAUGUGUGUAUAAGAUUGCAGCCAUUGUGUCCUAUCUUGGGAUGGGGUGGGAAUGAGAAGAGCAGGACUCUCUUGUACUCCUUCCUGUGUUGCAACAAUUCUAAAAGGGACUGCUUCUACAGCUGUAGAAAUGAUUAAUGGUCUAAUUUGGUUGUUUCUGUCACUGCCUCUUUAGGAGUCAGCAAACACUAUGUUCAUCUAGCCCAAUUCUUUCCAGGUCAGCCCCAAAGUGGAACCUUUGCCCUUUGCCUGGGGAUAACAUGGCUCCUGUUGUUGAAAUGUGUUUUUCAAAGUUAUUCAAGUUACUGUUCAUUCCAUGACAUACUAGUAAAUAAAUAGGUGGUGGAGGUAUAGAGGUGAUUGUUGCUGUUUUGGUGCUGGGGAAUACUUGCCUCUUUCUGUCUUGAUUCUUGAAUAAUAGCUUGCAAUUUUGUGGUGUGCAAGGACUGCAAAUCCUGUAUUUAAAAAUGUAUAUAUAUGCGACAUGAAAAAUGACUAAAUAUCCUCUGUGCAUUGGCAACAGCCUUCCAAUGGCUGGUGUCUUAAUACAGGUAGUGGAAGCUGUAUAAAUAAAUCCGAGUGAGAAGAGGGGUGAGCAGAAGGAUGUGGGAUGGGAUGGUUUUUAUUGACCUUUAUAUGUUUUUUUUACAAAGCCAAUAUUCCGCCUGGUCUUUGCAGUGGUGUUGAUAGAGUUGGAACUUUGGCUCAAAGCCCUGGGCCUUAGAGUCUGGAGGCCCUCCAAAUGACCACCCAGAGAACAGUAGUUUAUGAGGGCAGCAGGAAACAGGUCUGACACCAGCAUUUGGGACUGUCUGAGGCUUACUAGGACUGACACUGGUCACUGUAGAAGCCUUUCUUCAAUUCUAUUCAGGGAUCAGCUGGUCAGGCAUGCACAUUGUUAUAGAAGUUUAUUUUUUUAUUUUUUUACUUUAAAUACAUAUUGCCUUUUUCUAAUAUAAAAUGGUGCUGAUUCCUAAGAGUUGUACUCAAGAGUCCACACCUCAAGAGUCUAA